UAUGUACUUUCUCCGUUCGGAAUUACUUGUCUCGGAAAUGGAUGUAUCUAGAACUAAAAUACAUCUAAAUACAUCCAUUUUGGCGACAAGUAAUUCCGAACGGAGGGAGUAGUUC
rnacentral:pre_miRNA from 1 species